GAUGAAGAACGCAGCGAAAUGCGAUAAGUAAUGUGAAUUGCAGAAUUCAGUGAAUCAUCGAAUCUUUGAACGCACCUUGCGCCCUUUGGCUAUUCCGAAGGGCAUGCCUGUUUGAGUAUCAUGAACACCUCAACUCUUCACGGCUUGCCGUGAUGAGUUUGGACUUUGGGGGUCUUGCUGGCCUACGAGCCAGCUCCUCUCAAAUGUAUUAGCUUGCCGGUGUUUGGUGGCAUCACAGGUGUGAUAACUAUCUACGCUUGUGGUUUUCCACUAGGUAACCUUCAGCAAUGGAGGUUCACCGGAGCUCACAAAUGUCUCUCCUUGCCAAGGACAGAUUUUGACCAUUUGAUCUCAAAGCAGGUAGGACUACCCGCUGAACUUAAGCAUAUCAAUAAGCGGAGGA
rnacentral:misc_RNA from 1 species